GUAACCGCUCGGAACCUUCCUUCACUGUGGGCCUUGGGGGACUGGCGCCGGUUCCGUGCUCCUGUUCCUUCAGGGUUGUGGGACCUGAGUCCGUGCUUUACUGCCUGUCUUCCCCUUCCCUGUUUCUCAUCCCAGAGGAGGAAGCUGCUUUUUCUGCUCUCGGGUUCCAUUCCUCCCAAUCAGACUGGCUUCAGCGUAGAUGCCGUGAUCGCCCCAGAACACUUUUUCUCCGCCCUUCGCCUCCACUGCCGAUUCUGGGUGUCCGAACCUCAAGGCCCUUUGUUAUUCACCAGCCCUCUACUCUCAAACUUGGGCCUGUCUUGGGCUGUCCGGCAGAGAAUCACAGCUCCUCCCAACUAGUUGGGUCACCCCUGUACCCCUGCCCGGCUAUUUUUGUCUAUUUCGACCCUCUUCAGAGUGCCCUGACCCCCCUCCCUACUGUGGCAACCUUCUCCUGAGAAUUUAUUAAAGCCACUUGCCACCUCUUCUCCCCAGCCCAUCAUUUCUUUUUCUGGCUCAGGUUAUCAUUUACAAGUUCUUCCUGUCCCUUCUGGACACCUUUCUGUCUUCACUCCUGAACAAUACAUGAUGUCCUAAAUGCAUUUGGCAGACGAAGAUCGUCUUGAUAAUGCUUUACUCUUUUUAUAAUAUGUUGCAGAAAAUAAUAGAGGACGCUACUUACUUUGCUUACUAUGUGCCGAGUAUUGUUUUGUAUGCUUUUCAUUUGUUAUUUGAUCCUUACAGUUCAGUCAUUGGUAGGCUGAAAGUGGGAAAUCCAUUUUCCAGGUGAGAACAUUCAGACUAAAAUAUGAUUAAAUAAUUGGACCAGUCCUGAUCUGGUGAGUGAUGGAGUUGGUAUUGAUAUUCAGGUCAACUUUAUCCCAUAGCCACUGCUCUUAGUAACUUUUUGUUUUAAUUCAUUGAUUCAACAAAUAUUUCACAGAAUCUCCUGUGGGCUGGCCAAAAGCCCUGAUAACAAAAUAUUUUUAGAUAUUUACAGAAGAUGUUUGGUACCUUAUCACAGGAACUGAUGACUGCAGUAUUGCUAUUAAAUGCAUUUUUAAAAAUAUUUUUUGUAGUUGUAGAUAGCCAGUUACCUUUAUUUUAUUUAUUUUUAGGUGGUGCUGAGGAUCAAACCCGGGGCCUCACAUGCUAGGCAAGCACUCUGCCACUGAGCUACAGCCCCAACCCUAAAUGCAUUCUAAGGUUUAGAGUUGUUUCAAGGUUCAGAUGAAAUGCUGUAUGUGAAAGUUCUUUGAAAAUUGUGGAAUCAUGGUAAUGCUGUCAUUAGUGAUACACCGAGAAGAAAUUUUAGAAGCUCUUCAAAUGUCACCUCUUGAGGAUCAGCUUUCAAGAUUUCAUUUAAUGGAAAAAUAUAGUGAUUAUUUUGAAUUUGACAAAGAUUUUUGUAAAUGCUUUUAAAGUGAGUGGAACAUCUACUUACUUUCAUAUAUUGGGCACAUAGGUGCAUUUUUUAAAAUAUAUUUUUUAGUUGUU